CACGAAAUGUUUAUUUUUUUUUUGUUUUUUUCUUGGUUUUGAGGUGUUUAAUAUACAGUUGUUUAUGUAAAUGGUUUUCUUUCGAUGCAUAUUAUAGAUAAUUUUAAACUUUAUUAUGACGGUAAAUUAUUAUUCAUCUAAACGGAAAAAAUAAGAUUAAAAUAUUGUAUCUCAACAUCGGUGGUAGCUGUUGAUUGGUGGUAGCUAGGCAUGGGCGUUCGGUGGUCUGUUCGGUUUCGGUCCGGGUGAUUCGGAUUUUU
rnacentral:lncRNA from 1 species